GACGAACCGUGCGAACGUUGUUCGGAAUCACUGGGCUUAAAGGGCGCGUAGGCGGGCUAUCAAGUCCGGGGUGAAAUCCUCCAGCUUAACUGGAGAACGGCCUCGGAUACUGAUGGCCUCGAGGGGGAUAGGGGCACACGGAACUGUGGGUGGAGCGGUGAAAUGCGUUGAUAUCCAUAGGAACUCCGGUGGCGAAAGCGGUGUGCUGGAUCCCUUCUGACGCUGAGGCGCGAAAGCCAGGGGAGCAAACGGG
rnacentral:rRNA from 1 species